UUCCGCAAUGGGCGAAAGCCUGACGGAGCAAUGCCGCGUGCAGGAUGACGGCCCUCGGGUUGUAAACUGCUGUCACCGGGGACGAAUAACUGACGGUACCCGGAGAGGAAGUAACGGCUAACUACGUGCCAGCAGCCGCGGUAAUACGUAGGUUACGAGCGUUGUUCGGAUUUAUUGGGCGUAAAGGGUCCGCAGGGGGCCUGCUAAGUCUGAUGUGAAAUCCCAUGGCUCAACCAUGGAACUGCAUUGGAAACUGGCGGGCUAGAGUAUCGGAGAGGAAAGCGGAAUUCCUGGUGUAACGGUGGAAUGCGUAGAUAUCAGGAAGAACACCGAGAGCGAAGGCAGCUUUCUGGACGAUUACUGACCCUCAGGGACGAAAGCGUGGGGAGCGAACAGGAUUAGAUACCUUGGUAGUCCACGCCGUAAACGUUGUGUACUUGAUGUGGGAGGAUUUAGCCCCUCCCGUGUCGGAGUUAACGCGUUAAGUACACCGCCUGGGGACUACGGCCGCAAGGCUAAAACUCAAAGGAAUUGACGGGGGCCCGCACAAGCGGUGGAGCAUGUGGCUCAAUUCGAGGCAACGCGAAGAACCUUACCUGGGCUUGACAUAUACCGGACCGUCCUGGAAACAGGAUUUUCCCUUCGGGGACUGGUAUACAGGUGCUGCAUGGCUGUCGUCAGCUCGUGCCGUGAGGUGUUCGGUUAAGUCCGGCAACGAGCGCAACCCGUGUCGUUAGUUACAAACAGUUCGGCUGUGAACUCUAGCGAGACUGCCCGUGUUAAGCGGGAGGAAGGAGCGGAUGACGUCAAGUCCGUAUGGCCCUUAUGCCCAGGGCUGCACACGUGCUACAAUGACUGGUACAAUGGGAUGCAAUGUCGCGAGACGGAGCUAAUCCUUAACCCCAGCCCCAGUUCGGAUUGGAGUCUGCAACUCGACUCCAUGAAGUUGGAAUCGCUAGUCAAGGCGUAUCAGCAAUGACGCCUUGAAUACGUUCCCGGGCGUUGUACACACCGCCCGUCACAUCAUGGAAGCUUGUUGCACCCGAAGUCGCCGGAUCAACCCAUUUUCUGGGAGAG
rnacentral:rRNA from 1 species